rnacentral:tRNA from 1 species
GACGGUAGAGCUCAGUGGUAGAGUGUGUGCUUAGCAUGCACGAGGUCCUGGGUUCAAUCCCCGGUACCUCCA